UACGAAGGGGGCUAGCGUUGCUCGGAAUUACUGGGCGUAAAGCGCACGUAGGCGGCUUACUAAGUCAGGGGUGAAAUCCUGGAGCUCAACUCCAGAACUGCCUUUGAUACUGGUGAGCUUGAGUCCGGAAGAGGUGAGUGGAACUGCGAGUGUAGAGGUGAAAUUCGUAGAUAUUCGCAAGAACACCAGUGGCGAAGGCGGCUCACUGGUCCGGUACUGACGCUGAGGUGCGAAAGUGUGGGGAGCGAACAGG
rnacentral:rRNA from 1 species